AGAGUUUGAUCCUGGCUCAGGAUGAACGCUGGCGGCGUGCCUAACACAUGCAAGUCGAGCGAUUCUCUUCGGAGAAGAGCGGCGGACGGGUGAGUAACGCGUGGGUAACCUGCCCUGUACACACGGAUAACAUACCGAAAGGUAUGCUAAUACGAGAUAAUAUGCUUUUAUCGCAUGGUAGAAGUAUCAAAGCUUUUGCGGUACAGGAUGGACCCGCGUCUGAUUAGCUAGUUGGUAAGGUAACGGCUUACCAAGGCGACGAUCAGUAGCCGACCUGAGAGGGUGAUCGGCCACAUUGGAACUGAGACACGGUCCAAACUCCUACGGGAGGCAGCAGUGGGGAAUAUUGCACAAUGGGCGAAAGCCUGAUGCAGCAACGCCGCGUGAGCGAUGAAGGCCUUCGGGUCGUAAAGCUCUGUCCUCAAGGAAGAUAAUGACGGUACUUGAGGAGGAAGCCCCGGCUAACUACGUGCCAGCAGCCGCGGUAAUACGUAGGGGGCUAGCGUUAUCCGGAAUUACUGGGCGUAAAGGGUGCGUAGGUGGUUUCUUAAGUCAGAGGUGAAAGGCUACGGCUCAACCGUAGUAAGCCUUUGAAACUGGGAAACUUGAGUGCAGGAGAGGAGAGUGGAAUUCCUAGUGUAGCGGUGAAAUGCGUAGAUAUUAGGAGGAACACCAGUUGCGAAGGCGGCUCUCUGGACUGUAACUGACACUGAGGCACGAAAGCGUGGGGAGCAAACAGGAUUAGAUACCCUGGUAGUCCACGCCGUAAACGAUGAGUGCUAGGUGUUAGGCCCUUUCCGGGGCUUAGUGCCGCAGCUAACGCAUUAAGCACUCCGCCUGGGGAGUACGACCGCAAGGUUGAAACUCAAAGGAAUUGACGGGGGCCCGCACAAGCGGUGGAGCAUGUGGUUUAAUUCGAAGCAACGCGAAGAACCUUACCAGGUCUUGACAUCCCGAUGCUAUUCCUAGAGAUAGGAAGUUUCUUCGGAACAUCGGUGACAGGUGGUGCAUGGUUGUCGUCAGCUCGUGUCGUGAGAUGUUGGGUUAAGUCCCGCAACGAGCGCAACCCUUGCCUUUAGUUGCCAUCAUUAAGUUGGGCACUCUAGAGGGACUGCCAGGGAUAACCUGGAGGAAGGUGGGGAUGACGUCAAAUCAUCAUGCCCCUUAUGCUUAGGGCUACACACGUGCUACAAUGGGUGGUACAGAGGGCAGCCAAGUCGUGAGGCGGAGCUAAUCCCUUAAAGCCAUUCUCAGUUCGGAUUGUAGGCUGAAACUCGCCUACAUGAAGCUGGAGUUACUAGUAAUCGCAGAUCAGAAUGCUGCGGUGAAUGCGUUCCCGGGUCUUGUACACACCGCCCGUCACACCACGGGAGUUGGGGGCGCCCGAAGCCGGAUUGCUAACCUUUUGGAAGCGUCCGUCGAAGGUGAAAUCAAUAACUGGGGUGAAGUCGUAACAAGGUAGCCGUAUCGGAAGGUGCGGCUG
rnacentral:rRNA from 1 species